rnacentral:rRNA from 1 species
UACGAAGGGGGCUAGCGUUGUUCGGAAUCACUGGGCGUAAAGCGCACGUAGGCGGAUCCUUAAGUCAGGGGUGAAAUCCCGAGGCUCAACCUCGGAACUGCCUUUGAUACUGGGGAUCUCGAGUCCGGGAGAGGUGAGUGGAAUUGCGAGUGUAGAGGUGAAAUUCGUAGAUAUUCGCAAGAACACCAGUGGCGAAGGCGGCUCACUGGCCCGGUACUGACGCUGAGGUGCGAAAGCGUGGGGAGCAAACAGG